rnacentral:lncRNA from 1 species
UGUGAAGUUCGUCAUCCAUCUUCUUUGAUUUCUUCGUUAGGUGACAAACUUUCCUUCUCAGAUCUUGGAUCAUAGACUUCAAAGGAAUCCCCUGCGGUAGGAGAAGAGCUUCGGCAGGGCACUGUUGUCAGGAAACAAGAACGUCACAAUGCAAAUCAUUGCAAAAAAAAAAGAAAGAGAAAAAGGAAGUAGAAGAAGAAAAAGGAGCUCUCUGUAAAGAGAAAUCCGAUUUCAUUGAUUGAAUAAUUCUUAAGUACAAAAGAAAGAGAAAAAAAAGUUGUAACAAAAGAAAAGUAUAAAAUUAGAGGUUUCAGACCUCUGGA